UACGUAGGGUGCGAGCGUUGUCCGGAAUUAUUGGGCGUAAAGGGCUCGUAGGCGGUCUGUUGCGUCGGGAGUGAAAACUCAGGGCUUAACCCUGAGCCUGCUUCCGAUACGGGCAGACUAGAGGUAUGCAGGGGAGAACGGAAUUCCUGGUGUAGCGGUGAAAUGCGCAGAUAUCAGGAGGAACACCGGUGGCGAAAGCGACUCUCUGGACGGCAACUGACGCUGAGGCACGAAAGCGUGGGGAGCAAACAGG
rnacentral:rRNA from 1 species